CAAUUCAUAAUUCCAAUGUACAGUAAUUUAAAACAAGCAAAGGGCACAUUCAGAUUCAAGUUGUCCAUUUCCUGUACCUAACCUUGUCAAUACAGGGUCACAGGGAAUCCUGGAAUGGGAUGCAAGUCUGAAUGUGGCUGGCACAAGGCUGAACCAGCCCAGACUCACCAAGUCACUUAACUCAUUGUUUCUUUUGUGAGGGGUCGCUACAUGAUUGUGCAGUAAAAGCGACAAGUUCAUCCAAGUGUGAAUUCUGGGUCGAUUGACAUGCCACCCACUCUUUAGCAUGCUGUUUCCUACACCACUGAUGCAUCACAGAUUCCUUUCUCUUAAAAAUAAA